UACGAAGGGGGCUAGCGUUGUUCGGAUUUACUGGGCGUAAAGCGCACGUAGGCGGAUCGUUAAGUCGGGGGUGAAAUCCUGGAGCUCAACUCCAGAACUGCCUUCGAUACUGGCGAUCUCGAGUCCGGAAGAGGUGAGUGGAACUCCUAGUGUAGCGGUGGAAUUCGUAGAUAUUAGGAAGAACACCAGUGGCGAAGGCGGCUCACUGGUCCGGUACUGACGCUGAGGUGCGAAAGCGUGGGGAGCAAACAGG
rnacentral:rRNA from 1 species